rnacentral:rRNA from 1 species
GACGAACGCUGGCGGCGUGCUUAACACAUGCAAGUCGAACGGUGAAGCGCCUUCCUUUUUGGUGGGUGUGGAUGAGUGGCGAACGGGUGAGUAACACGUUAGUAACCUGCCCCCUUCUUCUGGAUAACCGCAUGAAAGUGUGGCUAAUACGGGAUAUUCUGGGUCUGUCGCAUGAUGGGUCUGGGAAAGAUAUUGUUUCGGUGGGGGAUGGGCUCGCGGCCUAUCAGCUUGUUGGUGGGGUGAUGGCCUACCAAGGCGGUGACGGGUAGCCGGCCUGAGAGGGUGGACGGUCACACUGGGACUGAGACACGGCGCAGACUCCGACGGGAGGCAGCAGUGGGGAAUAUUGCACAGUGGGCGCAAGCCUGAUGCAGCGACGCCGCGUGAGGGAUGGAGGCCUUCGGGUUGUGAACCUCUUUCGCCAGUGAAGCAGGCCUGCCUCGUUUGUGGGUGGGUUGACGGUAGCUGGAUAAGAAGCGCCGGCUAACUACGUG